rnacentral:rRNA from 1 species
CGGACCGGCGCACGGGUGAGUAACACGUAUCCAACCUGCCGAUGACUCGGGGAUAGCCUUUCGAAAGAAAGAUUAAUACCCGAUGGCAUAGUUCUUCCGCAUGGUAGAACUAUUAAAGAAUUUCGGUCAUCGAUGGGGAUGCGUUCCAUUAGCUUGUUGGCGGGGUAACGGCCCACCAAGGCAUCGAUGGAUAGGGGUUCUGAGAGGAAGGUCCCCCACAUUGGAACUGAGACACAGUCCAAACUCCUACGGAAGGCAGCAG